AGUUGGAACUUCCAGCAUGAUGCUGAAUACGAGUGUGAGAGGAGACAUCUUUGUGUUAUUUCCAGUCUCAAGAGGAAAGCUUUUAGCUUCUCACCAUUAAGUCUGAGGAAGAAAUCUUGGAGAAGACAGCACAGCGCCUAGGAGGCAGAGAAAGAAGCGAUUCUGAGCAGCUGAUGGAGACUUUGGAGGUAAAUGAAUGGACCCAGAGGAAAUUUAAGGUCAAUUGAGAUGAUUGAGAGAUGAACAUCGGUUAUGCUUACUAAAAAUAUGGAAACUAAAGAAAAGUACAAAGUUGGGAGAGAAGGAGGAUCAUACUUUCUAUCAUCACCAAAAUCAACAGUUAUUUAUGUUCAUUUUUCUAUGUAAGCCUUUAAUUUUUUAUAUAGCUGGAAUUUAUGUGGCUAUAUAAUUUUCUAUAUUGCUUUUCAUUUACUUGGAAGAUUUUUCAUUGUUAUUACAAAUUUAUUACUAAAAUUAUUUUAAUGUACAUUAUAUUCUUUGAGGAAAUGUAACAUAUGUUAUUUAACUGUUCUUUCAGUGUUGGGCAUUUAAUUUGUUUACACUUUUCUAUUUUAUAAAUAGCUCUGCAAAAUUUCUUUGCAAAAAGCUUUAUCAGCAAUUUUAUAUGAUUUCCUCAGGGUAGAUUAUGAAAACCUUAGCCACUAUUUCAAAUAAAUGAAUAUUUUUAGAGCUCUGUUUUGGGCUUUUGGAAAUUAACUCAUUAAGCAUUACUUUUCACAGGACCCAAGCCCUUUUCUCUGGAUCUGGAGUUGAGAGCUUUCCCUUUUCCUGCUAUUCAGGUCAGUUCAGUUCAGUCACUCAGUCAUGUCUGAUUCUUUGCGACCC